UACGUAGGGUCCGAGCGUUGUCCGGAAUUACUGGGCGUAAAGAGCUCGUAGGUGGUUUGUCGCGUUGUUCGUGAAAACUCACAGCUCAACUGUGGGCGUGCGGGCGAUACGGGCAGACUUGAGUACUGCAGGGGAGACUGGAAUUCCUGGUGUAGCGGUGAAAUGCGCAGAUAUCAGGAGGAACACCGGUGGCGAAGGCGGAUCUCUGGGCCAUUGACUGACGCUGAGGAGCGAAAGCGUGGGGAGCGAACAGGA
rnacentral:rRNA from 1 species